UGGGGAAUAUUGCGCAAUGGAGGAAACUCUGACGCAGCAACGCCGCGUGAAGGAUGAAGGUUUUCGGAUCGUAAACUUCUUUGAUGGGGGACGAACAAAGACGGUACCCCAAAAACAAGCCACGGCUAACUACGUGCCAGCAGCCGCGGGAAUACGUAGGUGGCGAGCGUUGUCCGGAAUUACUGGGUGUAAAGGGCGUGUAGGCGGGAAUGUAAGUCAGGUGUGAAAUGCCGAGGCUUAACCUCGGAGCUGCAUCUGAACCUGUGUUUCUUGAGUGUCGGAGAGGAAAGUGGAAUUCCCAGUGUAGCGGUGAAAUGCGUAGAUAUUGGGAGGAACACCAGUGGCGAAGGCGACUUUCUGGACGAUAACUGACGCUGAGGCGCGAAAGCGUGGGGAGCAAACA
rnacentral:rRNA from 1 species